GACGGUACCUGCAGAAAAAGCACCGGCUAACUACGUGCCAGCAGCCGCGGUAAUACGUAGGGUGCGAGCGUUGUCCGGAAUUAUUGGGCGUAAAGAGCUCGUAGGCGGUCUGUCGCGUCUGCUGUGAAAACCCGAGGCUCAACCUCGGGCCUGCAGUGGGUACGGGCAGACUAGAGUGCGGUAGGGGAGAAUGGAAUUCCUGGUGUAGCGGUGGAAUGCGCAGAUAUCAGGAGGAACACCGAUGGCGAAGGCAGUUCUCUGGGCCGUAACUGACGCUGAGGAGCGAAAGCGUGGGGAGCGAACAGGAUUAGAUACCCUGGUAGUCCACGCCGUAAACGUUGGGCGCUAGAUGUGGGGACCAUUCCACGGUUUCCGUGUCGCAGCUAACGCAUUAAGCGCCCCGCCUGGGGAGUACGGCCGCAAGGCUAAAACUCAAAGGAAUUGACGGGGGCCCGCACAAGCGGCGGAGCAUGCGGAUUAAUUCGAUGCAACGCGAAGAACCUUACCAAGGCUUGACAUAUACGAGAACGGGCCAGAAAUGGUCAACUCUUUGGACACUCGUAAACAGGUGGUGCAUGGUUGUCGUCAGCUCGUGUCGUGAGAUGUUGGGUUAAGUCCCGCAACGAGCGCAACCCUCGUUCUAUGUUGCCAGCGCGUAAUGGCGGGAACUCAUAGGAGACUGCCGGGGUCAACUCGGAGGAAGGUGGGGAUGACGUCAAAUCAUCAUGCCCCUUAUGUCUUGGGCUUCACGCAUGCUACAAUGGCCGGUACAAAGGGCUGCAAUACCGUAAGGUGGAGCGAAUCCCAAAAAGCCGGUCUCAGUUCGGAUUGAGGUCUGCAACUCGACCUCAUGAAGUCGGAGUCGCUAGUAAUCGCAGAUCAGCAACGCUGCGGUGAAUACGUUCCCGGGCCUUGUACACACCGCCC
rnacentral:rRNA from 1 species